rnacentral:rRNA from 1 species
GUUAUAUGGUCAAGUGAAGAAGCGCAUACGGUGGAUGCCUUGGCAGUCAGAGGCGAUGAAAGACGUGGUAGCCUGCGAUAAGCUUUGGGGAGUCGGCAAACAGACUGUGAUCCAGAGAUCUCUGAAUGGGGGAACCCACUCAGCAUAAGCUGAGUAUCUUGUACUGAAUACAUAGGUGCAAGAGGCGAACCAGGGGAACUGAAACAUCUAAGUACCCUGAGGAAAAGAAAUCAAC